AGGACGAACGCUGGCGGCGUGCUUAACACAUGCAAGUCGAGCGGUAAGGCCUUUCGGGGUACACGAGCGGCGAACGGGUGAGUAACACGUGGGUGAUCUGCCCUGCACUCUGGGAUAAGCCUGGGAAACUGGGUCUAAUACCGGAUAUGACCUGCUCUCGCAUGGGGGUGGGUGGAAAGAUUUAUCGGUGCAGGAUGGGCCCGCGGCCUAUCAGCUUGUUGGUGGGUAAUGGCCUACCAAGGCGACGACGGGUAGCCGACCUGAGAGGGUGACCGGCACACUGGGACUGAGCACGGCCCAGACUCCGUACGGGAGGCAGCGAGUGGGAAUAUUGACACAAGUGGGACGAAAGCCUGAUGCAGCGACGCCGCGU
rnacentral:rRNA from 1 species